AGGACGAACGCUGGCGGCGUGCUUAACACAUGCAAGUCGAGCGGAAAGGCCCUUCGGGGUACUCGAGCGGCGAACGGGUGAGUAACACGUGAGUAAUCUGCCCCUAGCUCUGGGAUAGCUCCGGGAAACCGGGAUUAAUACCGGAUACGACCACCUUAGACAUCUUUUGUGGUGGAAAGAAUUUCGGCUAGGGAUGAGCUCGCGGCCUAUCAGCUUGUUGGUGGGUAACGCCUACCAAGGCGACGACGGGUA
rnacentral:rRNA from 1 species